rnacentral:rRNA from 1 species
GAUGAACGCUGGCGGCGUGCCUAAUACAUGCAAGUCGAGCGAACGGACGAGAAGCUUGCUUCUCUGAUGUUAGCGGCGGACGGGUGAGUAACACGUGGAUAACCUACCUAUAAGACUGGGAUAACUUCGGGAAACCGGAGCUAAUACCGGAUGAUAUUUUGAACCGCAUGGUUCAAAAGUGAAAGACGGUCUUGCUGUCACUUAUAGAUGGAUCCGCGCUGCAUUAGCUAGUUGGUAAGGUAACGGCUUACCAAGGCAACGAUGCAUAGCCGACCUGAGAGGGUGAUCGGCCACACGGGAACUGAGACACGGUCCAGACUCCUACGGGAGGCAGCAGUAGGGAAUCUUCGGCAAUGGGCGAAAGCCUGACGGAGCAACGCCGCGUGAGUGAUGAAGGUCUUCGGAUCGUAAAGCUCUGUUAUUAGGGAAGAACAGAUGUGUAAGUAACUGUGCACAUCUUGACGGUACCUAAUCAGAAAGCAACGGCUAACUACGUG